rnacentral:rRNA from 1 species
UACGUAGGGCGCGAGCGUUUGUCCGGAAUUAUUGGGCGUAAAGAGCUCGUAGGCGGCUUGUCGCGUCGGAUGUGAAAGCCCCGGGGGCUUAACCCCGGGUCUGCAUUCGAUACGGGGCAGGCUAGAGUUCGGUAGGGGAGAUCGGAAUUCCUGGUGUAGCGGUGAAAUGCGCAGAUAUCAGGAGGAACACCGGUGGCGAAGGCGAUCUCUGGGCCGAUACUGACGCUGAGGAGCGAAAGCGUGGGGAGCGAACAGG